rnacentral:rRNA from 1 species
UACGAAGGGGCUAGCGUUGUUCGGAGUUACUGGGCGUAAAGGGCGCGUAGGCGGCGCACCAAGUCAGGCGUGAAAGCCCUGGGCUCAACCCGGGAAUUGCGCCUGAGACUGGUGUGCUUGAGUACGGGAGAGGAUAGUGGAAUUCCCAGUGUAGAGGUGAAAUUCGUAGAUAUUGGAAGAACACCGGUGGCGAAGGCGGUCUCUGGCCGAUACUGACGCUGAGGAGCGAAAGCGUGGGAGCGAACAGG